GGUGGUGCUGGCGGGGCUGGGGGUGUUGCUUGGCGGCGGAGCCCAACGGCCCUGACAUCUCAAAGGGCCCAGCAGCGUUCGAGACGCUGGCGCAGCUG
rnacentral:tRNA from 1 species